rnacentral:rRNA from 1 species
CGUAGGUAACCUGCCCAUGUGUCCGGGAUAACUGCUGGAAACGGUAGCUAAAACCGGAUAGGUAUACAGAGCGCAUGCUCAGUAUAUUAAAGCGCCCAUCAAGGCGUGAACAUGGAUGGACCUGCGGCGCAUUAGCUAGUUGGUGAGGUAACGGCCCACCAAGGCGAUGAUGCGUAGCCGGCCUGAGAGGAUAAACGGCCACAUUGGGACUGAGACACGGCCCAA